GCCCUUCUGAGCACAGGAGGUGAAAGUGGAUUACACAAUGGCCAUUGCUGUCAUACUUUUUCUCUAACCAGUAAUUAGUUUAGUAAUUGGUCUGAGACGCCACCUAGGUGAUGAGCUGUAAGGGCUUGGGGACCUCUGUAGUGAGAUGUGACUCCUGUGACUGUCACCUCCACCAAGCCCCCCUCCCUCACCCUCCACCCUUACUCUUGGAGGAGGAUGAAAUCUUACACUGAACAAAGCUGAGUGGAAAGACAGCAAACACCAGGACUUCGAGGGCUCAGAAUUAGCCUGAAUACCUAUGACUGGAGAACAGAUAUUGUGGAUCCCAUUCAACAGAUGAUGAAACCAAGAGUCUGAUGGACUUGGUGAAUGAAGGAUGCAGACGUUUGGAUUCUAAGACCAGUAUGGCUUCCAUCUCAUCCUGUUGCCAGUUGUCCCUUAUACACUCAAAACCUCAAUUUAUAAACAGGACUGUCGGUUUCAUGAAGGCGUGUCUCUGUGAUGUUCAUUAGUGCCACUUGUGCCUAAAAUGAGUGAAGUUAGGGAGCACUACACUGACUACAGCCGGGUCACGUGGCUUAUACUUCAUAGUGGAGGAAACAAAGAGUUCUGCGAAGACUCCUAUGCACAGGACUUAAACAAUGCAAGCAGUAAUUACAGAAUAUGAAUCCAACGGUAAACACACAGGAUGAAUCGGAGAGGGAGAGCGACUAAAGACUUGGAAGAUUUGACCUGGAAGGGCUGGAAGUGAGAAUUCACACAUCGAGGCCUAUUCCCAAGAAUUGGGAGGCUCCCUUUCUCUAAGCAUCCCUUGGUUGUAUGCAUCAUAAGAGGGAGGACACUAUACAGAUGAUUCAGCUGGAGCUAAGUGAACUACUUAGAAAGAAAAGGAGAGAACUCUUUCAUUUGUAGCCUUAUGGCUUCAAAUAUAUUUCUAAGAGACAGAAAAAUGUGGCAAGAACCAGACCGUCUUUAGAAGAAAUAAUUACUAUUUCGCUUAGGUGAGGCUUCACAAUCACUUUACAAAGUAAUUUUGUACACAUAUAUCAUUUCACAAUUUAAACUAUAUGUUGUUUGUGGAUUUGAACUUAGAUAACAGCCUUCAUAGGUACAGCUUGCCUCAAUUUCCUUAAUACAUAUUAGCUAGUUCUUCCUUUGAUGAUUAAGAUAGCCUUUUAUGUAUAAAAUAUACCGUUCUGUUUCAGUUAAGCCCCAAAUUAUUAAUUUUGGAUAACUGAAUAUUUUCAAAGAAUCCAAAUAUCCUUAGAAUACUAAUACUUUCACUAUACAUCUGUUUAAAAAUGAAUACAAAUGAACUUUCACUACUCCCUGGUUUUGAAGGAAGCCCAUUCUUCCCAAGCCAUACCAAGUGAGAAAUGUUGCCUGCACUAUGUGCCUUUCUCACAAAACUGAUGCCCUGUGGCAAAGCAGGAAGAUCAAAUUAUAUGAAGAAUGAGAACAAAGUUAUCCCCCAGGUUUUGUCAUUUCUAGAACAAGACAGACUAUUUUUAGGUUUUCAAAAUUCAUUACUGAAUUUUGCAUCAUUACUUUUAAACAGGACCUAUGCUCAAAUGACUUGGUUGAUUCACACAGUUUUUGGCCAAAAUGUACUAUGAACACUUUUUGGAGGUUCAUAAUAUCACGUUUAUUUUAAUGCACAAUUUUGAAUAUCCCAAGAACACACUGGGCAAAUGUCUUUUAAUCCUAAGAAGUUCAAGGCAUUUAAAUGAGGCCUUAAAUUUCAGAAUACUGAGAUUUUUAUCUUUAUAAAGUUGACUUUAUCUUCGCUGUCCACCCUACUAGUUUUAGAACCUGGAAUUUGAUUCUGUCUGUACAAUCUUCCAUUUUUUCUUCUUAUCUGUGACUCCAUUUUAAGAUCCAUGACAAAAUAGCUGUAUGAAAAAUAAUGAAAUUCCUCCUUUGGUGAUAAUAUAAAUGGGAAAUGUACAUCCUGAAAUGUUUUGCAUGAGCGGAUUUAUUCAUAUUAAUUAUGGUUCAUAUAUAAUUCAUUUGAAAAGAUUCUCCUACAGCUUUUAGAAAUGAAAUCUCUAAAAAAUGGAAACAAAUGACAAAUAGUGCACGCAUACAUAUGUGUAGUGUGUGAGUACUCAUUAGGGAAAGUAACAUUUCAGAGUUUAAUGUGGUAUUGCUCUCCUUUAUAAUACUUAUCAGUGUUAGCUAAUCUGAAGGUGCAGCUACAAACUACAGUACUCAGUCAUUAGUGUUUGUGAGAGCUCUUCACGUGGAGGGCAUUGAACUAGAAUUUCCAACUUCAUGGUAUAGACGUCCUCUAGGUAUAUUUUAUGCAUUUCGAACACUAUUGGCUUCAAUUUUUGAAUGAGAAAUAAAUUCCAAAAGUAGUAAAGUCAAAAGAAGUGGUGUCUCUGGGGGUGAGUUGGGUGAGGAUCCUGUGUGAGAUAACAAAAGGAGAUGAAGGUGAGGAAAUGGCUAGCUUCUCAUGCACUGUUUUAGCCACCUUAUGUGAAGAGUACACCUUAACAGUUAGGUUGGCGGAGGGACAGCAUUAGGAAAAGUAGCUAAUGCAUGCUGGGCUUAAUACCUGGGUAAUGAGUUGAUAGGUGUAGCAAACCACAAUGGCACAUGUUUACCUAUGUAACAAACCUGUACAUCCUGCACAUGUACCCCAGAACUAAAAAUGAAAAUAAAAAUGUUAGGUCCAGGGAAAGCUGCCUCUUCUGGCUGGUCCACAGAAUGAUAAUGUGUUGCAACAUGAGGCCAGGCAAUGAAAUAAUGCAAUGAACUGCAAAGAGCCACAUGAACUAAUGGUAAUAAUAAUAAUAAAAGAAAAUCAACAGCAAAAGAAUCCAUUAAAAAAUGUCUUCG
rnacentral:lncRNA from 1 species